rnacentral:rRNA from 1 species
UACGUAGGGUGCAAGCGUUAAUCGGAAUUACUGGGCGUAAAGCGUGCGCAGGCGGUUUUGUAAGUUUGUCGCGAAAGCCCCGGGCUCAACCUGGGAAUUGCGAUGAAGACUGCAAGGCUUGAAUCUGGCAGAGGGGGGUAGAAUUCCACGUGUAGCAGUGAAAUGCGUAGAGAUGUGGAGGAACACCGAUGGCGAAGGCAGCCCCCUGGGUCAAGAUUGACGCUCAUGCACGAAAGCGUGGGGAGCAAACAGG